rnacentral:rRNA from 1 species
UACGGGGGGUGCGAGCGUUGUCCGGAAUCACUGGGCGUAAAGGGCGCGUAGGUGGCGUGAUAAGGGUGUGGUGAAAGCCCGGGGCUCAACCCCGGGUCUGCCAUGCCGACUGUCAGGCUAGAGUACUGUAGGGGCAGGCGGAAUUCCGGGUGUAGCGGUGGAAUGCGUAGAGAUCCGGAGGAAGACCGGUGGCGAAGGCGGUUCUCUGGGCCUGUACUGACGCUGAGGAACGAAAGCGUGGGGAGCGAACAGG